AAGGGCAUUCGGUGGAUGCCUUGGCGACAAGAGGCGAUGAAAGACGUGAUACGCUGCGAUAAGCCAUGGGGAGCUGCGAAUAAGCUUUGAUCCGUGGAUUUCUGAAUGGGGCAACCCACUCCGUAUGGAGUACCCUUUAAUGGGAGCAAACCCGGGGAACUGAAACAUCUAAGUACCCGGAGGAAAGGACAUCAAUUGAGACUCCGUUAGUAGUGGCGAGCGAACACGGACCAGGCCAGUGCUCUUUUCGAAUGAACUGGAACCGUCUGGAAAGUCGGGCCGUAGUGGGUGACAGCCCCGUACAGGUGAGUGAGAAAAGAGACUUGAGUAGGGCGGGACACGUGAAAUCCUGUCUGAACAUGGGGGGACCACCCUCCAAGCCUAAGUACUCCUACAUGACCGAUAGUGAACCAGUACCGUGAGGGAAAGGU
rnacentral:rRNA from 1 species